rnacentral:rRNA from 2 species
UGCUUGCCUUGACUCAUUUGUCAUUUAGAUUAGUGGUGCACUGGUGUGAACAUGAUAAUAAUCUGCCCUUGAAGUAGAGGAUAACACUUGGAAACAGGUGCUAAUACUGCAUAACAACGAAAACCGCCUGGUUUUCGUUUGAAAGAUGGCUUCGGCUAUCGCUUUAGGAUGGACCCGCGGCGUAUUAGCUAGUUGGUGAGGUAACGGCUCACCAAGGCAAUGAUACGUAGCCGACCUGAGAGGGUAAUCGGCCACAUUGGGACUGAGACACGGCCCAAACUAUAUACGGGAGGCAGCAGUAGGGAAUCUUCCACAAUGGACGAAAGUCUGAUGGAGCAACGCCGCGUGAGUGAUGAAGGGUUUCGGCUCGUAAAACUCUGUUGUUGGAGAAGAACGGGUGUCAGAGUAACUGUUGACAUCGUGACGGUAUCCAACCAGAAAGCCACGGCUAACUACGUGCCAGCAGCCGCGGUAAUACGUAGGUGGCAAGCGUUGUCCGGAUUUAUUGGGCGUAAAGCGAGCGCAGGCGGUUUUUUAGGUCUGAUGUGAAAGCCUUCGGCUUAACCGGAGAAGUGCAUCGGAACCGGGAGACUUGAGUGCAGAAGAGGA